rnacentral:lncRNA from 1 species
UUUACAAUGACAGCAAAGGAGGUGUGCGGCACGUGAACAGGGCGAGGGGUGGGCUGGGAUAGACACGGAGAUGUGCCACUUUCUGUGAGGCAGCGCUGCCCUGCCCAGCACAGGAAGCACAGGCCACAGGCACAGGCACCUCCACUCACCAGGGCCUUCUGGUCCUUCGAGCUGCAGAGAGCUGCCUUGCCUGAAGUCACACUCACAUAAGGGCCACUCACAUCCGCAGACUAAGUGAGGGAAAAGAGGAAGGCACAGGUGUCUUGUGAUUCUGGGGAGCCAUUCUUGCUCUAAAGCCUCCUGCCAGAUUGGCUACAGCUUUGUGGGGGUGCAUGUCACAGUACAGUUUCCCUCGCUGCCCACUCUUUCCUCCGCCCUUUCCCUUCACAGGUUCUGAUCUCUGUGUUAGUCAUCUUGGACUGCACAGCAAAGUACCACAGGCCUGUGGCCUUAAACAACGUAAAUUUAUUUUCUAACAAUUCUGGAGGCUGAAAGUCCAACGUCAAGGUGUCAGCAGGGUUGGUUUCUUCCGAGGCCUCUCUCGUUGGCUUGCAGAUG